rnacentral:lncRNA from 1 species
UAUUGGUUAGUGGCGAAAGUGGAGCAGGGAAAACAGAGACAACAAAAUUGAUAAUGCAAUACCUUACCUAUGUUGGUGGUCGUGCUGCUGAUGAUGACAGAACAGUUGAACAACAGGUUCUCGAGGUAACUUCCUGGCUGUUGCUUAAUGGUUUAGAUGAUGACAGAAUAGUUGAACAACAGGUUCUUGAGGUAACUUGCUGGCUGUGCUGAAUGGUUUUAGAGGCAAAACAUCUCAUGGUGGUUCUGUCUGUAACUUUAACUAAUUUCCAUUAUUGGGUCUAGAUUGUUAUACU